AGUAUUAAAGGCGAUGGAGUUCGCCUGAACCGCUCCCCGAGCUAAUGACUCCUACCAGUUG
rnacentral:ncRNA from 1 species